GACGAGGGUUCCUAGCGUUGUUCGGAAUCAUUGGGCGUAAAGCGUAUGUAGGCGGCUUAGAAAGUCGGGUGUGAAAGCCCUGGGCUUAACCCAGGAAGUGCACUCGAUACUACUGAGCUUGAGUAUUGGAGAGGGUAGUGGAAUUCCUGGUGUAGUGGUGAAAUACGUAGAUAUCAGGAGGAACACCGGUGGCGAAGGCGGCUACCUGGCCAAAUACUGACGCUGAGAUACGAAAGCGUGGGGAGCAAACAGG
rnacentral:rRNA from 1 species